GCUCUAGAGAAGGCAGCUUUGACCCCAUGCUCUACCCAUCAGCCUAAGAUUUCUUCUCUUCCUCCACGGAGAGCUGGUUUUUAGGCAGGCUCAUUGGUGAGCCGCAGCCAGAAGGAGGCGCUUGGACUAGUAGGUGUUGCCCGGUUGCACGGCUCUCUAAAUGUUAGUUUCUGUUGCCAUUCUGUCCAAAUUUGUGUCAAGGAGACAAUAAGGAAGAGAGUUGAUCAAGUCCCCUCCGACUUAGACUCCAAAACUGAACCACAGCCCUCAAAAGAGGACAAGAGUGGCUCAGAGGAGAGCACUUGGCCUGUAUCAUCCCUCUACACUCAGGUGGCACUUCGUGUCAGUUCCUGUGAACAGAAGGUCAACAGAAACAUAUAGAACCAAUGUGGAUUUCUCUCCCCAUUCAAUGCUAGCACCUUUGAUGGUUUUCAGGUUUCUUGGUGACAGGAAAAGCAAGGCAGUCUCCUUGCUGACUGCAGCUUUGUUGGAUUUUGGAGGAAGACCCUCUUUUAUGUGACAGGUCCUGUGUCUGGUUGUUAACCUUCAGUGACUUUUAUAUAUACGGCAAAGGACAAGAAUGCACCUGAGUGUUGAAAGGACUUUUGUUUUCUGUUUGGGUGGGAUCUUAUUCUCAUUUCAUGAGUUCUGUUGUUUACCCCAAAUUGAAGUGUGACACGGUGUGAGGUGGAGAUGGAAAAAUUCUUCCCUGGGAAUCACAGUGUCUCAUUUUCUCACUCCUAGUUCCCUAGAACUAACCUGUUCCCCUUUUUGGGAAGAAGCGAAGGUCUCUCUGCUCUCCACGAUGUCCACUAAUCAGGAGAAUUACCUGUGUGGAAGGAUGUUUCAGAGUAUAGUCUUCCACUAACUUCUUAGUUUUAGAAUUCUCAGCAAGACUGAAAAGAAAACUGUUAUUUUUACUUCUUGAAAGACACUAUCUGGCAAAAAAAAAAAAAAUUGCAUGACAAAAACUUUGGCUUUAUGUAUCCAAAUUCAAAUCUCAGAGGGUCUAGGUAAAUAGUAUAAAAAGGAAAUGAGAUAGUCUCCAUUGAUGUGGUAUUAUUUUCUCAAGAACCAACCUAACAGAGAACAGUCCCCAGCUUUUCUGUGGUACUUUUCUAGUGGGACUUCCCCACCCCCAGUCCUCACACACGAGGGGUGUGUGUGUGUGUGUGUGUGUGUGUGUGUGUGUGUGUGUGUUGUUUUGUUCAUAAGUUCAGAAGCAGAGUUAAUGCCGUUUGUCAAUGUAGCUUCAGGGAUAUGUUAAUGUCCCACCCUCCUAGAAUUCAAAACCAGUCAUCACCACAUCCAAAUGAGAUACCUAGGAUUUCUUUUCUUUUGGUGUUUGCUUUAUGAACACUGAAGCAGUAAAGUUCUCUGGGUCUGAAAAUGUUCUGUGUCACUUUUCACUGUAUUGCUCAUAUGUAAAAUGUAAAAAAAAACAAAACACACACAAAAAAAACCAAAAAGCACGGGGUAAAAGUAAGCCCUUGGUUCU